ensembl:lncRNA
AAUAGGAAUAAAAAAUAAAAAUACAAGUGAAUUGCACAUUUCAAGUAUUGAGGUCUAUUGCACUGUUGACUAUUUACAAAAGUAUUGCACAAAAGGUAUUGCACAGUGAGGUGAAGAGGCACUACAGCUUAGUUGUUCCCCCCUCCUUUGUCCUCCUGUUUCCCCUCCCUCUCCCCUCCAGAGAGGAGUUAAACAGUCUGAUGGCGUGUGGGACAAAGGAGUUUUUAAGUCUGUUAGUUCUUGUCUUUGGGAGAAGCAACCUGUCACUGAACAGACUCUUCUGGUUGUUAAUGGCUGUGUGCAGAGGAUGCCUGGCAUUGUCCAUAAUGUCCAUCAGUUUCUUUAAUGUCCUUUUCUCUGCCACUGUCACCAGAGUGUCCAGCUUCAUGCCGACCACAGAGCUAGCCCUCCUGAUCAGUUUCUCCAGCCUGGAUGAGUCCCUCUUUGCUGUGCUGCUCCCCCAGCACACCACAGCAUAGAAAAGUACUCCAGCAACCACCGACUGAAACGCACCUGUGUUUCUCAACGUCAAGCUCCCCGUCAAGACUGUCAUCUUUUCUUUGCCACAAUUCUCAGAGCCUGGAUUGCACUGCUUAAACUGGACUGUCUCACAGCAUACGUCUCUCCACAAAAAGUCUGCGUCCGUCUCUGCCUGUGCGAGGGCAGAGGUGCUGAUGCUUCUUCCUCCGCCCUCAGUGCCUUCUCUUGACAGGGUGAGCUUGUUGUGACAUCAGGGGAUGCGUCUGCUGCUUAUUCAUCGGACAUUUCCCUGCAAGGAAAAGUAGACCGCAUCCUGUUACUUGAAAUUUUGACAGAUGAACUGCAUCAAGUAGUAUUUUUAUUUAGUAUGGGCUCUUUUCAUCAUGCCUACCUGUCCAUUCUUAAAAGGGAAGAACAUAAAUACAUGUGAAUAUGUAUGUAUUGUAUGUAUAUAGCUAAACUGAUGUCUGGUAGGGAAGAUUUUUCUCUUUACAGUAGGGAUUCUCAGAGAGAUACUGAGAAAGCAACUUUUUUAGUAAAUGGUGCUAUUUUAAUAUUAAAUGCUCUUUGAAAUGUAGGUCUGCAAUGAUUCGCUUUUACAAUUUAAAAGCAACACCAAUAAACCAAUUAUGUAUAUUUGGAUAUUAUCCUACAUUAAAAGGAUAGUUCAGCAUUUUCAGAUGUACGCUUCUCAGUUUCUGACAGAGUCUGUCAGGUUGGCUUUAACAUAUUAACUCAAGACGAGCGUGUUUUUAUGUAGAUUUUUUUUAGUUUUAUUUGGGAAAUUUACUUGUCAAAGUGAAACCAGAAAGCUGGCAGUGGAAUUCUGAUCAGUAAUUCCUGAAAAAAAGCUAAAAGGCCACAACUACAACUAUGUGUAAAGAGAACAGUAUUAAUCUUUGAAUUCAUUUGUCUUCAGUCCAAUUGCGACAGGUGAAAUAGCUGAAAAAUAGCCACACAGUCUGCCUUCACAAGCAUUUGUGAAAGAAUGGGUCUUUGUAAUGAGUUCUCUGAUUUUGAGGAUAUGAUGCCACCGUACAACAAAUCACUUCAUAAAAUUUCUUCCCACUACAAUCAACUGAAAUUGGUGUAACAAAAACUCCAAACCUCCUCUGUUGUUAACAUCAGCACCGUAACUGUGCGCCAAGAGCUUCGUGUCAUAGGUCUCAUUGGCUGAGCAGGUCGUCCAGAUGUAAUGUGUAGGUGGGCAAGUACUUUUCUACAUAUAGUGUUAUAUAAAUAUUGAAGAUUUGUUACAUCUUUAUAGCCGUCUGUACAAAAAUAUGCUUCACUAUGUGCGUCAAAGAACAAAAACAUAAAAAGAGGGUUUUCGCCACUUGAAAAACUUUAUAUGUGGAUUUGCCUUUAGCGGUGCUCCAGACAGAGCCAGGCAAUAAAGUUUCUGCUUAUAUUCAGUUUUUGUACGUUUGGAUGUGCAGAUAUCGAAGAGGUAUUCAUCUUCCUCUAAACAUACUCCAGGAACAAUGUAUGUGACAAAAUCAAACUAUUCCUUUAAGGUGGCCAAAAGCAGCGAACUUGUUAAGUGUUAGACUGUUUCUGUUUCUCUUCAUAAAUGACAAACUUUGGUGUUUGUUUAUAGUGUAUGACAAAGCAGACAAGAGUGAAAAAAAUGCUGGUGAGGGAAGAAAGGCAGAGAGCAUGAACCUUCUACAGCUCAGAAAUAAGUGAAAACACGUUUCAGUGGAAAAAUGCUCCAAGGCAAGCGGCCCAGGGAUUUGACCAAAUGAUGUGCUUUCAGAUGUAAAAUGCAAUGCAAACUGGAAGAACAGGAAAAACUAGGAUGAGCGAACUGAUAAACAACAUAUGCUCUUUGGAAAGAUGACCUCAAGCUAUGUCUUCUGCUGAGAGAAGCUGUACGGUUACCAGCGAUUUUUUAAAAAAGUGAUCUGUCCUUUGUCUGCUUAUCUGGCCACGAUACUCUUCUUUAAUCUGAAACCUUCUGACAGACUAAACCCAGUGCUUUCUUUGGCAUUCCCAUCCAUUCCUCCCUGGAUUUGUUGGACUUGACCCUUUUGGUCCUUUUAGAGGACCCUAAUAGCUACAACCCAGUUAGUUUUUAUCGUCAUCCAGUUUAUCCGCUGAUUCUGUUAUAGGAGGCCACAAUAUUAUAAUGUUGGAUAUAAAUAAUGUCCUAGCUUCUUGUUUACAUAGCACAUAUCCCAUCCUUUGGUCUUCUGUUAGAGCUCUACACAAGUGAGAAAAACAACACUGGUGGAACGGACUCUUAUGAUAUUGUCAUGCCUUUUGCAACUUAUUUUCAAUUUGUAUAUGUAUGCUUUUUUUUGUCUGCAUACAGUUUUUACCACCACCAUUUAUAACAUCCGCUACCUGGACAAACAAGCCAAUCAUCACAUACAGUGUCCUGCCAUUAAAAUAGCAGUUGUCCUGUAGGAUGUAAAUUGUGUGUGUUUGCAGUGUUUCAACAUUUUCUUUUUAUACUGAUGACACCAUGUUAACAGUGUUAUCAUGCUGUGCAGCUGUGUAAAGGACUAAUAAGGUGUAACAAGUACAAAAAUAAAAUAUUUUAUUAUAAAAUGAAGAAUCCA